rnacentral:lncRNA from 1 species
UUGAAUAUGUAUAUUUGCUUAAGGAGUAAAGUUCGAAGUAUAAAACAAGAUUGUGCUCAUACACAAAUUAUUUCAUAUCGGUGGGGCUAAUGACAUACCACACCCAACCAUUAGUUCCAAAGUUGACCCAACAAAGGCCCAAGUCGUCAAUGGCCCACUCCAUUGAACCCACUUGCCAAACUCAUGCAUCAUUAGUUGGUUCCAAAUAGCUUCAUUAUCUCUAUACAUCAUCAAAUACAUAUAUCUCAAAUUGGGUCUAUCCUAAAGUCAAAGAAAACGUUAUUCAAAUAAAAAUAGCAUAUUCCAACAAAUCUUGAUAUAAAAGGUGUUCAUAACCAUAAAUUCAAACGAGAACUAAAUCAAAUAUGUUAUGCUCAAAUAUCGUAAUCUAUCUUCUCUUGUUUUCAAUUGUUUGCUACUAUGCACACCAAUUUUAUAAUCGGAGUGUAUUGUGUUUGGGAUUACUUUUUAAAAUGACUUUUUGAACUUUUAGCUUUUCUAAAACGUUAAAAGCUUGAAAAGGUGUUUAGCAAUUCUAAAAGUCUUUUUAGAAUAACUUUUUGACAAGAAGAAAAAUGAGUGAUUUUAAAAGGUAAAAAUUGUGACUUUUGGCUUUUUAGUCUUUGCUCCCUCAAAAGAUAAUCCAAAUACAUUCUAAAACCUUCUUUUGUAUAAAUUUAUAAGACAAAAAGUCAUUUUGUUGAAAAUGACUUUUUAGGCUAAAAAGCAAUCCCAAACACCCCCUCGUGAAUGUAGGAGAAGUGUAUUCUCACAUUCAAAUCUUGAUAUACGGCUAACCGAUUCAUUUAAGUUAAUACUGAAACUGAGAUCAAAGGCAUGUUGUACUCGUAGAUACUUUAUGGAUCAAGGUAUUAUUGAGUCAUAAAUUAUUAUCCCGAACUUAGAAUAAGUGAUGUGAACAACUCGAUUUAAAAGGCGGCAUUGUGUAAUGGUUGUAAAAGUAUAGGGUAGUAACUGUAAUAUUAUGUAAUUGCCGGCUCUGUUAAGCCCUAGACCAUAGUGAUUAUCGCCAAAACAGAGCUUUUUGCUUGCACAUCCUACCAAAACCCUUUCCCUUCGCAUUUCGCUCCUCCACACCCCCAGAAGCAGACGCAAAAUCACCGGCGGCGAUAACAACUACACACCUUCCCUUCCCUUCACUGAAAACUCAAAUCUUCCAUCGACAGCCUCAAUUCAUCAUACAUCUUCUGUUUCUUCUGUUUCUACAACUUCAAUUUGGUAAGUCGUAAGCAUUCGCUAUUCGUUAUUGUUGCUUCGGUAAAAUGGUUAUUGAUUGUAUGAUAUUCAUGUGAAAUGCGCGUUGCUUGCUUGAAUUAUAUUUUCUUCUGGUUUUUAGUUUCCGUCAGGUUUAGGGUUUAUAGGUUUUGUCGAGUUUUAGGUCAUGAAACCUUUUUCUUCAAUCCAAGCUUAAAGCUGUUAAAUGGGUUCGUAAUCACAAAGAUAACCCUAGUUUUUCGUAAUUAGGGUUUAAGUAUAUGGGAUGGUGGUAAGAAUUAAUUAUUGGUUUAUUAAUUUUUGCAGAAGGAUUAUCUGGAUGAUCUGCAUAAACCAUCAAAAAGCUCUUCAAUAGCUUCAGAGAACUCAAAUUAUCAAGGUCAUUACUCAUCAAUGUUGCAGAAUUUGAAUUUCAUCUCUGAUCAAUUGGACCUCACUUCACUUAUCAGACAUCGAUCUUUCACAUGUCCAGUCAAGACUCAAUCAACAGUCACUACUUCACAAAGAUAUCACCAUUCCGUACAAUGCAGAGGCAUUUGCCUCGACAGAAUCACUGAUUCCGGAGUAGACUCAUGGAAGAGGAAUAGAAUCAAUGAAACCAAUUUCACAGAAAGGCAUUCAGAAUCUUCAAAUAGAAUCUUGGUGAACAACAACGAGCAAACAAACAACGACCUCCUACAGAAUCUAUGCAAAAAAUGGGAAUUAAUAAAAGCAGCAAGAUUGGUAGCUGUAAUGACCCGUAGAAACCAAAUCCCACAUUUUGAUUCUUGCAUAAAGUUAAUCAGAGGCCUAAUAAAGAUCGAUUAUAUAGAUCGAGCUUCCGAGGUUCUAGAAUCCAUGGUUAUGUCUGGUGGUGUUCCAGAUAUCAUCACUUACAACAUGCUAAUCACCGGUUUAUGCAAGAACAAACAAAUAAUUUCUGCUAUUAAUCUUCUAGAAAGUAUGAGCUUAUCCGGUUGUCCUCCAGAUGUGAUUAGCUACAAUGCUAUAAUUCGAGUCAUGCUUGAACAUGGCUACAUUCAGCAAGCUGUUUCAUUUUGGAAAGAUCAGUUAUCAAAAGGGUGUCCUCCUUACACUAGUACAAUCACUGUUCUUGUUGAGUUAGUGUGCAAAUCACGUGGGGUUAUAAGAGCUAUUGAAAUUUUACAAGAUUUGUCAAUUGAUGGAUGUUAUCCUGAUCUUGUGACAUAUAAUGCUAUGAUUAAUGUCAGUAGUAAAAGAGGGGAUUUUGGGGACACUAUUUUGAUUCUACAUGAUCUUUUAUCUCAUGGUAUGAAGCCAAAUACGGUUAUGUAUACGACUCUUCUCCAUUCUUUUUUUAACCAUGGUUACUUGGAUGAGGUGGAUGAGAUUAUUUCUCUCAUGAAUGAAGCUUCACAAUCUCCAACUAUGGUGACCUACAAUAUUUUGAUAAGGGGUUUUUGUAAACACGGGUUUCUUGAUCGUGCGAUUGGCUUUUUCAAUGAAAUGGUUUCUUCUAAUUAUACCCCUGAUAUAAUCACUUACAACACGCUUUUACGUGCGAUUUGUGAUGAAGGAAUGACGGAUGUGUCCCUGGAGAUUUUGAACUGUUUGGGAGACAAAGACAGUAAUACCCCUCCGAGUCUUGUAACUUACAACAUUGUGAUUGAUGGAUUGGCGAAAAGGGGUGAUAUGGAGAAAGCGGUUGAUUUAUAUCAGAAAAUGAUGAAGGAAGAAAAAGAUAUUGUUCCUGAUGAUGUUACUCAUAGAUCCUUGAUUUGGGGGUUUUGUCAUGCUGAUAUGGUUGAUGAAGCCAUGGAGAUUUUAAAGGUGAUGGAUAGAAAGAACCAUAGGGCGACACAUAGUACUUAUAAGUAUAUUAUUCAUAAGCUAUGUGAAUAUAAGAAAGUAGAAGGGGCAAUUCAGGUAUUAAAAAUGUUGGUCUCAAGCCCAUACAAGCCGUAUAGUGAAAAGUUUUAUUCUGAUAUGCUUUCAGGUUUAGCUACAAAUGGUAUGAACAAUGAAGCUAAAGAACUACAUCAGAAACUGAUCGAAUGGAAGGCUGUUUAAAUCUUUUUUUUUUUUUUUUGUUCUUCUGUUUUCAGUUUAGUAAUGAAAAAAAUAUCAAUGAUAAAUGGCAUACCUUUGUAGACCAUUUAGCUAUAUCUGUUUUCAGAAUCCAGAAAUGGGAAAGUCUUUUUCAACCUUGUAAAUGAUUCUUGUGAAAUUACUUUCAUUUGGAAAAGAGAAUGACCCAAGUCAAUAGCCUCUGCCCUUCUGCCUGAAAA